rnacentral:rRNA from 1 species
GGCGGCAGGCCUAAUACAUGCAAGUCGAGCGCACCUUCGGGUGAGCGGCGGACGGGUGAGUAACGCGUGGGAAUGUGCCCUUUGGUACGGAACAACUGAGGGAAACUUCAGCUAAUACCGUAUGUGCCCUUCGGGGGAAAGAUUUAUCGCCAUUGGAGCAGCCCGCGUUGGAUUAGGUAGUUGGUGAGGUAAAGGCUCACCAAGCCUACGAUCCAUAGCUGGUCUGAGAGGAUGAUCAGCCACACUGGGACUGAGACACGGCCCAGACUCCUACGGGAGGCAGCAGUAGGGAAUCUUGCGCAAUGGGCGAAAGCCUGACGCAGCCAUGCCGCGUGAAUGAUGAAGGUCUUAGGAUUGUAAAAUUCUUUCACCGGGGAAGAUAAUGACGGUACCCGGAGAAGAAGCCCCGGCUAACUUCGUGCCAGCAGCCGCGGUAAUACGAAGGGGGCUAGCGUUGCUCGGAAUUACUGGGCGUAAAGGGCGCGUAGGCGGAUAUUUAAGUUGGAGGUGAAAGCCCAGGGCUCAACCCUGGAAUA